rnacentral:rRNA from 1 species
AUUUAUAUAGGUGCCCGUCGUACGCAUGUCUGCGCCGGCCGCCAUGGCUCGCGGGAUUUGACUGACUGAGUGCUCAGCCGUCGCGGGUGGUGCAUUAUGAUUGGCGUGUGAAGUCGUAACAAGGUAACUCUCAGUCAGUCAAGUCAGUAACAAGGUAACCUCAGUCAGUCAAGUCAUAACAAGGUAGCCUUAGUCAGUCAGUCAAGUCGUAACAAGGUAGCUCUAUUCCAGUCAAGCUGUAACAAGGUAACCUCAGUCAGUCAAGUCGUAACAAGGUAGCCUAAGUA